rnacentral:rRNA from 1 species
AACGAACGCUGGCGGCAUGCCUAACACAUGCAAGUCGAACGAGACCUUCGGGUCUAGUUGCGCACGGGUGCGUAACGCGUGGGAACCUGCCCUUAGGUUCGGAAUAACUCCCCGAAAGGGGUGCUAAUACCGGAUAAUGUCUUCGGACCAAAGAUUUAUCGCCUUUGGAUGGGCCCGCGUUGGAUUAGCUAGUUGGUAGGGUAAAAGCCUACCAAGGCGACGAUCCAUAGCUGGUCUGAGAGGAUGAUCAGCCACACUGGGACUGAGACACGGCCCAGACUCCUACGGGAGGAAGCAGUGGGGAAUAUUGGACAAUGGGCGAAAGCAUGAUGCAGCAAUGCCGCGUGAGUGAUGAAGGCGUUAGGGUUGUAAAGCUCUUUUAACCGGGAUGAUAAUGACAGUACCGGGAGAAUAAGCUCCGGCUAACUCCGUG